rnacentral:rRNA from 1 species
GGCGAGUNNNCGGCAACAGCUCAAAUUUGAAAGCUAGCCUUCGGGUUCGCAUUGUAAUUUGUAGAGGAUGAUUUGGGGAAGCCGCCUGUCUAAGUUCCUUGGAACAGGACGUCAUAGAGGGUGAGAAUCCCGUAUGUGACAGGAAAUGGCACCCUAUGUAAAUCUCCUUCGACGAGUCGAGUUGUUUGGGAAUGCAGCUCUAAAUGGGAGGUAAAUUUCUUCUAAAGCUAAAUAUUGGCGAGAGACCGAUAGCGCACAAGUAGAGUGAUCGAAAGAUGAAAAGCACUUUGGAAAGAGAGUUAAAAAGCACGUGAAAUUGUUGAAAGGGAAGCGCUUGCAAUCAGACUUGUUUAAACUGUUCGGCCGGUCUUCUGACCGGUUUACUCAGUUUGGACAGGCCAGCAUCAGUUUCGGCGGCCGGAUAAAGGCUCUGGGAAUGUGGCCUCCACUUCGGUGGAGGUGUUAUAGCCCAGGGUGUAAUACGGCCAGCCGGGACUGAGGUCCGCGCUUCGGCUAGGAUGCUGGCGUAAUGGUUGUAAGCGACCCGUCUUGAAACNAC